rnacentral:rRNA from 1 species
UACAGAGGGUGCGAGCGUUAAUCGGAUUUACUGGGCGUAAAGCGUGCGUAGGUGGUUUGUUAAGUCUGUCGUGAAAGCCCUGGGCUCAACCUGGGAACUGCGAUGGAAACUGGCUGACUAGAGUGUGGCAGAGGGUAGUGGAAUUCCUGGUGUAGCAGUGAAAUGCGUAGAGAUCAGGAGGAACAUCCGUGGCGAAGGCGACUGCCUGGGCCAACACUGACACUGAGGCACGAAAGCGUGGGGAGCAAACAGG